rnacentral:rRNA from 1 species
UAGGGUUUGAUUAUGGCUCAGGAUGAACGCUAGCGGGAGGCUUAAUACAUGCAAGUCGAGGGGCAGCAUAGGACUUCGGUUCUGAUGGCGACCGGCGCACGGGUGAGUAACGCGUACACUACCUACCUUUAACAGAGGGAUAGCCCUGGGAAACUGGGAUUAAUACCACAUAGUAUUGCAUAAUUUAUUUUUAUGCAAUUAAAGCUCCGGCGGUUAAAGAUGGGUGUGCGUUAGAUUAGCUAGUUGGUAAGGUAAUGGCUUACCAAGGCUACGAUCUAUAGGGGGCGUGAGAGCGUGGACCCCCACACGGGUACUGAGACACGGACCCGACUCCUACGGGAGGCAGCAGUAAGGAAUAUUGGACAAUGGGCGCAAGCCUGAUCCAGCCAUCCCGCGUGGAGGAUGACGGCCCUAUGGGUUGUAAACUUCUUUUAUUAGGGAAGAAACCUUUUCAUUUAUGAAGAGCUGACGGUACCUAAAGAAUAAGCACCGGCUAACUCCGUGCCAGCCGCCGCGGUAAUACA